UCGGCACAGUUAAUGGCACUGGAAGAAUUCACGGGGUACUUUUGAUACAACCCGUGAUCUCUUAGUGGCAUCUAUGGUGCGAG
rnacentral:pre_miRNA from 1 species